UCCCCAGCCAAAUGAGUACACUUUCAAUUUUUGUGCGAUAAAAUAGAAUGAAUCAUUCACCCACAUAUUCAAACACUCAACCAAUAGUUAUUCAUACAUUUGUCUACCCAGCCUACCAUUUGCCUACCAAUUUCACCCUAUCAUGAUGCUAUCAUGUUCCAAACAAUAUCCUGCUUAUUCUGAAUUAAACAACAAUAAAUCAAAAUUAAUCUAAACUCACCUUUUUUGUCAAUUUCUCAAUUCCAUCCCAAAAAACCAAUUUUACUUUUCAAAUGAGAUAUCUCUUCAACAUGAAAAUCAUGAUUAAGAAAACCAACCGCAAAUCGAAACAACACGCAUUCAUCACCAACAAGGGUCAAACAAUACAUGAUAUUUUAUUCAAUGCAUCGGAUAUCAUCAAUAAUGAAAUAAAAAGAGGUGCAAGAGUAGAAUUGGACCUCAUUUGAAGCUUUCGAACUCAAUGUUAUUCGAAUAAAGAGAAUCCACGCCCAGAAACCUCGAAACGAACCUCAAACAAACAACUCAUCCAAAUCAAAACUGAGAAUCAUAAAAACAAAGAGACCUGGACCAGAUUCUCACAAACCCACACAACCUCGAACUAAAAAUCAUGAGAAAUAAGAGAAAUUUAGCCCAGUUCCAAUGGGUUUGGACGAAAUCAAAAGCAGAUCGAGGUUUGUUUGAUGAUUAUGUAUCGCUGCAACCCCGAUAAACUUUGGAUAUGACCAAAAUGACAAAGAGAUAUCAGUUGAGACGUAUUUCGAUGGGUUUUGAACAAAUUUGUGACAGUUAGAUGCGAUUCCGGUGAGUUUGUCACCAAAAAGUAAUCCAAUGACCAAAGUCGUGUUCCUCAAGCUCUCACUCACUGGAAACUGCUUCGCCAUCAUUCUCUUUCGAUUUCAAUUGCGAAUCCCUCCCUCUCUCGCAAAUCUCUAUCACUCUCUCGCAGAUCUCUCUUACUCUCUCGCAGCUCUCUCUCUCUCUGUCCGUGUGUCUGUUGUGUAUAUCUAUUCUGUGUAUGUAAGUGUAUUCGAUGAACCAAGAAGAAGAAAAAGAAAGGUUUAUGUGUAUGUUUUUUUUGUUCUUUUUCUCCCCCAGAUCCUGGAAUCCCCCCUCAACGAAAAAUGGAGUGUUCUAUAUAUGUAUUUGUCCAGUGAAGAAGAUAUCCCUUUUUUUUUGCUUUUUGGAGAUGAAAUGAUAGGGGGGUCAUGUG
rnacentral:lncRNA from 1 species